CAAGAAAUCACUUUGGAUAACUGAGGGAGAGGGCUGGCUAUCCUUAACACAGAUAUAAAAAUCUAGCUAGGAUAGCCAGUCCUUGAUCUUGCAACA